AUUUUAUAAGAAGUUUGAAUGAUAGAGGAAGUGUAUACGAUGAUGUCGACAUUUUGCGUAGGAGAACACUAAGAAGAUCCGACAUUGUUAGCUGGAAGGGUAGACAUUGACAGUUUUUGAACAUUUGUGGAGCAGAGGUGCACCAUGGCUUGCCACAAUGUCACAAUGGGUUCUUGGAGAGCCGCUGCUGUUGACUUGCUGCAUGUCUCCUCUCUGCGGCAAAACUCCACAAAUACUCCACUCACCAAGUUCCAGAGGGAGAGGUGAGUGUGUU